CCUACGGGAGGCAGCAGUGGGGGAUAUUGGACAAUGGGGGGAACCCUGAUCCAGCGACGCCGCGUGAGUGAAGAAGUAUUUCGGUAUGUAAAGCUCUGUCAGCAGGGAAGAAAGAAAUGACGGUACCUGACCAAGAAGCCCCGGCUAACUACGUGCCAGCAGCCGCGGUAAUACGUAGGGGGCAAGCGUUAUCCGGAAUUACUGGGUGUAAAGGGAGCGUAGACGGUUAAGUAAGUCUGGAGUGAAAGGCCGGGGCCCAACCCCGGGACUGCUCUGGAAACUGUUCAACUUGAGUGGAGGAGAGGUAGGCGGAAUGCCUAGUGUAGCGGUGAAAGGCGUAGAGAUUAGGAGGAAAACCAGGGGCGAAGGCGGCUUACUAAACUAUAACUGACGUUGAGGCUCGAAAGCGUGGGGAGCAAACAGGAUUAGAUACCCUGGUAGUC
rnacentral:rRNA from 1 species